rnacentral:rRNA from 1 species
GACGAACGCUGGCGGCGUGCCUAAUACAUGCAAGUCGAACGAGAGCGACCGGUGCUUGCACUGGUCAAUCUAGUGGCGAACGGGUGAGUAACACGUGGGUAACCUGCCCAUCAGAGGGGGAUAACAUUCGGAAACGGAUGCUAAAACCGCAUAGGUCUUCGAACCGCAUGGUUUGAAGAGGAAAAGAGGCGCAAGCUUCUGCUGAUGGAUGGACCCGCGGUGCAUUAGCUAGUUGGUGAGGUAACGGCUCACCAAGGCCGUGAUGCAUAGCCGACCUGAGAGGGUGAUCGGCCACAUUGGGACUGAGACACGGCCCAAACUCCUACGGGAGGCAGCAGUAGGGAAUCUUCCGCAAUGGACGCAAGUCUGACGGAGCAACGCCGCGUGAGUGAAGAAGGUUUUCGGAUCGUAAAACCCUGUUGUUAGAGAAGAACAAGUGCUAGAGUAACUGUUAGCGC